ensembl:lncRNA
CUCACUUCAGUCUUAUUCUACAUACAAACUCAGAAGACUCAUGGUAGGAAGGCUUUCUGGUGAUGACAAAGCCCAUAGAAUAAACCCUCCACUCUCAGGCACCUGUAACAGGAUAGGAUAUGUCUAGAGCCAGACAUCCUGGAAUGCGAAGUCAAGUGGGCCUUAGGAAGCAUCACUAUGAACAAAGCUAGUGGAGGUGAUGGAAUUCCAGUGGAGCUCUUUCAAAUCCUGAAAGAUGAAGUUGUGAAAGUGCUGCACUCAAUAUGCCAGCAAAUUUGGGAAACUCAGCAGUGGCCACAGGACUGGAAAAGAAAUCAACCCUGAAUAUUCACGGGAAGGAUGGAUGCGGAAUCUGAACCUCCAGUAUCAGUGGCCACCUGAUGAGAAGAGCCGACUCCCUGGAAAAUCCCUGAUGCUGGGAAAGAUUGAAAGCAAAAGGAGAAGAGGGCAGCAGAGGACGAGAUGGUUAGAUAGCAUUCAAUGAAUAUGAAUUUGAGCAAACUCCAAAAGAUAGUGAAGAACAGGGAAGCCUAACGUGUUGCAGUCCAUGGGGUAUCAGAGAAUCGGACAUGACUUAGUGACUGAACAUCAACAUACCCAUAAAUUCAUUGCUGAGGUCUCUUUUGUUUUGAUUUUUUUUUCAAUUUAUUUAUUUACUUAUUUUGGCUGCACUGGGUCUUCACUGCUGCCUGAGGGCUUUCUCUAGGUGCGGCAAGCAGGGGCCACUCUCUAGCUGUGGUACCCGGCCUUCUCACUGCGGCGGCUUCUCUUGUUAUGUUGCAUGGUCCCUAGAGCACAGGCUUGGUAGUUGUGGCGCACGGGCUUUGUUGCCCUCAGGCAUGUGGGAUCUUCCCAGAGCAGGGACUGAACCUGUGUCCCCUACAUUGGCAGGCGGAUUCUUAAUCACUGGACCACUAGGAAGUCCAAGGCCCCAUCUUUCAAUACUAUUAUAUGGGCAUCAGGACUUCAAAAUCUGGAUUGGCAGAGAUAACAACAUUCAGACCAUAGCAACUGGCAAAAAUAAUCACAGAGUGCAGAUUAGUGGCUGCCUAGGGUUAGGGGCAAGGUAAU